AACGAACGCUGGCGGCAUGCCUAACACAUGCAAGUCGAACGAAGGCUUCGGCCUUAGUUGCGCACGGCUGCGUAACGCGUGGGAAUCAGCCCUUUGGUACCGUACACUAGCCGGUAGCGGCUGUUAAUACCGGUUGAUGUCGAACGUCCUAAGAUUUAUGGCCAGAGGAUGAGCCCGCGUUGGAUUCGGCAGUUGGUGGGGUAAUGGCCUAUCAAGCCGACGUUGCAUAGCUGGUGGGAGAGGAUGAUCAGCCACACUGGGACUGAGACACGGCCCAGACUCCUACGGGAGGCAGCAGUGGGGAAUAUUGGACAAGGGGCGCAAGCCUGAUCCAGCAAUGCCGCGGGAGUGAUGAAGGCCCUAGGGUUGUAAAGCUCUUUUACCCGGGAAGAUAAUGACGGUACCGGGAGAAUAAGCCCCGGCUAACUCCGUG
rnacentral:rRNA from 1 species